rnacentral:lncRNA from 1 species
CUAAAGAGCUGGGGUAGGUUUCCUAAGGUAUUCAUUGUUGUCUCUUGUUCCACAGGAGUCUUUUCAAUGAACUAGAGAAAGGAAAGCACAUCUUCCCAUUUAGAAGUCCACAUUCCCAUGGGCGGAAUAUUUUACAGGACAUGCUCAGGGACACUCUGGGGCCUGCAGAACCAAAAGCAUUUGCAGGGUUCAAGACAAGAUCACAAGUCAGUUUCUAGGAGGCACGAAUGGCUGCUGAGUGGCGGGAGGCCCUUCGGUAAGUACCCUGGGACAGCUCCCCAGGCACCUUUCCUGUCCAUAGCUUGACCUUGCG